AAGUCGUAACAAGGUUUCCGUAGGUGAACCUGCGGAAGGAUCAUUGACAAAUCUAAAACAUUGUUGCUUGGAGGGAGAGAGCUUUUGUUGUCUCUCUUCAAGUAUACAAAACAUUCUAACCUGUGAAUUGGCAGUACGCAAGUACUGUUUUAUUGGUUGUGUGGCAUGUGUACGUGCAUCAUUUGCUUGCUGAAUUUGCAAGGGAGUAGUGUGUGUACAUGUGUUCUGCUUCCUUUAAACAUUUACGUAAAGAAUUGUCUUAAAAAACAAACAAAAAUACAACUUUUAGCAAUGGAUCUCUUGGCUUCU
rnacentral:misc_RNA from 1 species